GGUGGCUUAGUGGUAGAGUGUUUGCCUUGCAUGCAUGAAGCCCUGGGUUCAAUUCCUCAGCACCA
rnacentral:tRNA from 1 species